GAUGAAGAACGCAGCGAAAUGCGAUAAGUAGUGUGAAUUGCAGAAUUCAGUGAAUCAUCGAAUCUUUGAACGCACAUUGCGCCCUUUGGUAUUCCAAAGGGCAUGCCUGUUCGAGCGUCAUUUGUACCCUCAAGCUUUGCUUGGUGUUGGGCGUCUUGUCUCUAGCUUUGCUGGAGACUCGCCUUAAAGUAAUUGGCAGCCGGCCUACUGGUUUCGGAGCGCAGCACAAGUCGCACUCUUUAUCAGCAAAGGUCUAGCAUCCAUUAAGCCUUUUUUUCAACUUUUGACCUCGGAUCAGGUAGGGAUACCCGCUGAACUUAAGCAUAUCAAUAAGCGGAGGA
rnacentral:misc_RNA from 1 species